GAUAAAGAAAAUAAUAUUCAACCCUGCUGCGCACCUUUGUUCCGAAAUAAUAAAACUACUGCACCCGUCAGAAGCUCUCCUCUUGUUAUUUAUUCGAUGCCAAAGGGGCCGUAACAGUGAAAACUCGUCGCUGCGGUGGAGACUCGACAUCACCAGCUGCGUCGCUGUCUUCAUCGAACUAAAGAAAGCCUUUUCCUGUAUCUCAGAUGCCACAUGUUAGCUGUCUGCAUAGGAUUUCAUGGAAGAUGUCUGCAGAAAAUCCCUAAAGCUUAAAGUUUGUACCCCCCUUGGCAAGUGGAUCAAGGUAUGCAGAAAAGUGUGCAUUGUUAUAAAGGUGUAUAUGUUCUAGAGAUAAACCCUGUUCAUGCUGUUUGGUUUUAAAUACGCUAUAUGAUCCAAGACACUUUGCAUGUAACCAUGUUUCUUUGAAUGUUCAAUGUAAUUAGAUGUGUGUACAGACAACUGUAAUUAACCCUGUAACCCCCUUUUUGGUGACAACUGUAAAUAAGUGUGUUGUAUGUCAUUUACAGUUUUCACGGUGCUAUGGUGCUAUGGUGCUUACGAUAUUCAUAUUUACGGUGCUCAAGGAGAUAAAGAAAAUAAUAUUCAACCCUGCUGCGCACCUUUGUUCCGAAAUAAUAAAACUACUGCACCCGUCA